rnacentral:rRNA from 1 species
AGAGUUUGAUCCUGGCUCAGGAUGAACGCUGGCGGCGUGCCUAAUACAUGCAAGUCGAACGCUUUGUGGUCCAACUGAUUUGAAGAGCUUGCUCAGAUAUGACGAUGGACAUUGCAAAGAGUGGCGAACGGGUGAGUAACACGUGGGAAACCUACCUCUUAGCAGGGGAUAACACUUGGAAACAAGUGCUAAUACCGUAUAACACUAAUAACCGCAUGGUUAUUAGUUAAAAGAUGGUCUUGCUAUCACUAAGAGAUGGUCCCGCGGUGUAUUAGCUAGUUGGUAAGGUAAUGGCUUACCAAGGCAAUGAUACAUAGCCGAGUUGAGAGACUGAUCGGCCACAAUGGGACUGAGACACGGCCCAUACUCCUACGGGAGGCAGCAGUAGGGAAUCUUCCACAAUGGACGAAAGUCUGAUGGAGCAACGCCGCGUGUGUGAUGAAGGGUUUCGGCUCGUAAAACACUGUUGUAAGAGAAGAAUGACACUGAGAGUAACUGUUCAGUGUGUGACGGUAUCUUACCAGAAAGGAACGGCUAAAUACGUGCCAGCAGCCGCGGUAAUACGUAUGUUCCAAGCGUUAUCCGGAUUUAUUGGGCGUAAAGCGAGCGCAGACGGUUAUUUAAGUCCGAAGUGAAAGCUCACAGCUUACCUGUGGGAAGUGCUUUGGAAACUGGAUAACUUGAGUGCAGUAGAGGAGAGUGGAAACUCCAUGGUGUAGCGGUGAAAUGCGUAGAUUAUUAUGGGAAGAAUACCAGUGGCGAAGCGGCUCUCUGGACUGUAACUGACGUGAGGCUCGAAAGUGUGGGUAGCAACAGGAU